rnacentral:rRNA from 1 species
AUGGGCUGCGCUUUCUUGUCGUCGUCGUCGCCACGGAAGCGUGAGCAGCGCGCUCAGGGAUACGAGGAGUCGGCCGUCCUUGCCGCCGAGACCUCCUUCACAGUGAACAAGGUGGAGGCGCUGUACGAGCUCUACAAGAAGCUCAGCUUCUCCAUCUUCAAGGACGGCCUCAUCCACAAGCAGGAGUUCCGGCUGGCCCUGUUCAGGACCAGCAAAGGCGCGAACCUAUUCGUGGACAGGGUGUUCGACCUCUUCGAUCUCAAGCGCAAUAGGGUCAUCGAGUUUGGCGAGUUCAUGCGCUCGCUCAGCAUCUUCCACCCCAAAGCGCCUGAAUCUAAAAAUACUGCGUUCGCAUUCAAGCUGUAUGAUCUAAGGGGGACAGGCUACAUCAAGAAAGAAGAGCUCAGGGAAAUGGUUGUGGCGCUUCUUGAUGAGUCCGUCCUAUGUCUCUCUGACAACACCGUCGAGGAGAUCAUCAAUGAUGUAUGUAAUCAGCAAGAUAUAUUCAGUCAUUGCGAACUAUUUUGGUGUUUUCCUUCUAACAUGUUAUGUUCUCUGCUGCUCUACUCCUUCUGGACUUUCAGACGUUCAGUCAAGAAGACUCAGAUGGAGGAAGAAGGUCACCACAGAGGUAGGGAGUAG